UGGGUACUCGACCUCAUUGCCU
rnacentral:siRNA from 1 species